rnacentral:rRNA from 1 species
CCUCGGGACGCAGCAGUCGGGAAUAUUGCGCAAUGGAGGAAACUCUGACGCAGUGACGCCGCGUAUAGGAAGAAGGUUUUCGGAUUGUAAACUAUUGUCGUUAGGGAAGAUAAAAGACAGUGCCUAAGGAGGAAGCUCCGGCUAACUACGUGCCAGCAGCCGCGGUAAUACGUAGGGAGCGAGCGUUGUCCGGAAUUACUGGGUGUAAAGGGAGCGUAGGCGGGACGGCAAGUCAGAUGUGAAAACUGAGGGCUCAACCUUCAGACUGCAUUUGAAACUGCUGUUCUUGAGUGAAGUAGAGGUAA